CAUCACCGCAGCACCUGCUGGGAGAGCUGGCCAGAAAAUGCCCAUCUUCAGUGCUCCAUUGAUUUACAGUGUGGAAACGAAGAUUCAAGUCGAGUGGUUGGUGGUGGAUCAUGGAGCAGUGGCAGACAUCUGUUUUGAGAUAGCCAGGGGCAUGCUCCAACACACAUCAUUUACAAACAAAGCAUGUGUUUAGUGAGUCCGCCAGAUCAGAGGCCAUGAUGGAUUCUACGACUUGCUCGGGUCCAUCUGGCCCCACCUCCCAUCGGCCAUCGAGGGGUCUUCUAAGAACAGCAGGACCUUCUCAGCCAUUUCACCAGCUGUCAUCAUUGGCAGCUCUAUGGUGAAAAACAUCUCAGUUCCCAGGGCAAAAACCCUGUGCUAUCCUGGGGCACAAGUACAGGACAUUACAAGGCUGCUUUCUAACAUUGUACGACAGCUGCCGGGGGCUGACUCUGUCGUAGUCCAUAUGGGGUCAAAUGACAUUAGGAGGGCUAGCUAAGAACUGCUGAAAAUUGACUUUUAAACAUUAACCCAUAGCCUACAAUUUCUACGCCCCCGCGGAAAUCUAAUUAACACAAUUAAAAAUCCCUAUCAAAAAUCGAUCUUUUUAAGUUGGUUAUAUUUUUGUUGUUGCAUGGGCUGCAUCUCAAUCCACCUCAUCUGCCGAUAUUGCCCUGCCACAUCUGCGGUGAAAGGUAGACAUAGCUAGAGCGGUGUUUGUCAGACCAUGAGACAUCCAGAAAAUUGUUCUUGUCACAAAAAUGUCUGUAGCGUUCGAACGUUUUGGCCUACAAAGUAUUAUGACUACUAUGUUGGAAGAUGAUCUGUUUUGCUCAAGGAUGCCCACAAGACUCGUCUGAAAUGAUGUUUUUGAUUUUUUUGAUGGCAGACUUAAUGGAAGUAUAUACACUGCUCAAAAAAAUAAAGGGAACACUAAAAUAACACAUCCUAGAUCUGAAUGAAAUAAUCUUAUUAAAUACUUUUUUCUUUACAUAGUUGAAUAAUCAGCGAUCAAGUCGUUGUGAUCCCCCUGCACAGAGACCAGGGUCAUUCCAUACUUUGAAAUAGGUAGCAUUUGUGUUAAAAAAAAGGUGACCCAUUUUUCCCGUGUCCAAGGGCAUUGAAAUAUUUGAUAUUGAUUUAUACACUUUGUUCUGUUGGAAUUUAGAAUUCCCAAAUCAAAGCUUUUGACAACAAAAUCACAC
rnacentral:lncRNA from 1 species